GUGGGGAAUAUUGGGCAAUGGGCGAAAGCCUGACCCAGCAACGCCGCGUGAAGGAAGAAGGUCUUCGGAUCGUAAACUUCUAUCCUUGGUGAAGAUAAUGACGGUAGCCGAGAAGGAAGCCCCGGCUAACUACGUGCCAGCAGCCGCGGUAAUACGUAGGGGGCAAGCGUUGGCCGGAAUGAUUGGGCGUAAAGGGUGCGUAGGCGGCCUGGUAAGUCUGGAGGAGAAGUCCUGCUUUUAAGGUGGGAAUUGAUUUGGAUACUGUCGGGCUUGAGUGCAGGAGAGGUAAGUGGAAUUACCGGUGUAGCGGUGAAAUGCGUAGAGAUCGGGAGGAACACCAGUGGCGAAGGCGACUUACUGGACUGUAACUGACGCUGAGGCGCGAAAGUGUGGGGAGCAAACAGGAUUAGAUACCCUUGUAGUCC
rnacentral:rRNA from 1 species